GUGACAACACAAAGGUCCUCUGUUGU
rnacentral:sRNA from 1 species